GCCAAAAACCUCAUCUUAAUAUCUUUGUCUACAGCAACAUGUUCUCUUCUACUCAAAAUUUAUUCUGUGGUUUAUUUUACAAGCCACAUAAAUUAGAAAAAUUCCUGUUUUCCUUUCAAGGUGAUUGCCCAUUUUACAUUAAGUUACUUCUGACUUGAUGGAAGCUGAGUUCCUUUUGAUUCACCCUGAUGCUCUUCUUUCUGCCUGUUCACAUGGAAACCUGCCCAAUUUACUUCUCCACAUUGUUUUCAAUUGCAGACAUUAUUUGUUUGUAAUUCCUUUCAUCCAUAUCUCUAAGUUGAGAAAACUCAAACCUUACACUCCUGAAUCAAUCAGGAUAGGAUAGGAAGUGCUGUUGUGACAAGUAAGCCCUGAAUUGCAGAGGUUCACAACAAAGGAGAAUUUUUCCUCAACGCCAUUCUCAGGUGUUGAGACCACUGCCUGUGUAGUUUUGUGGUGCCUUUACUUUAGGUCCAAGGUGGGCAGAGUAGUGUCUGGAUAGAACAUUACAGGUUUUGGCAGGGGGACAUAGAAACUAUGUACUGAGUUAUUAAACUGUCUGCUUGGAACAGACAAAGGCCAGUUAUGUUUACAUCUAGUGAAAUUUAGUCCCAUGACAAUGCUCUAGCUGCAUAGGGUGAGGAUAUGUGUUUCCUGCUGGUUUGCUGAAAUCUUGAGCACCAUCCUCUUUGGUCAACAGUAAUAUAAUCUUCCCUACCUUCACAGUCACUGCCACUACCACCAAAAUUUUGCAUUUUGACCAAGAAAAUUCAGUUGACCUGGAAAUAUGAAAGGUUUAAUCUGUCACCAGCUCUCCCCGAAAUGAGGCUGUCAGUUUGAAGCAAGGCUCUGGCAAACUGUAAGUCUGUGUGGCAGAAGCAGGGCAAAAUCUAUCUUGGAAAUGUGAGUUCCAGAAGGACAGAUAAGAAUAAUGACAAAAGUCUGCUGCAGCCUCUUCAGUGCAGUUAUACACACAUGCACUAUUGUUACUAAAUUAUUUUUCCUUCAGAUAUAAGAGGCAGUAAUAUAGUGUGUGAAUGCCACCUGCUUAAAAUAAGAAGUAAAUGAAAAGAAACAAUUAGCAAAUGCAUUAGACAGGGUACCAUUGGGGGAGAAAAUGACUGAUUUCAGGAAUCUUCUUUGAAAUACAAGAGAGAGAACUGAUGUGAGAUUCAAAGAUUUGCCAUUCACAAUUGAAUUUGAACACUCUCAAGAUGAUCCGCAGGAGAAGUACAUACUCCUCGAGCUCGAUCUGUCUGCACAUGCACUUAUCCCAGGAAGCUGAAGUGGGAGAUCUGAUGCGCAGUGGAGGACUGAACUAAAGCCUUUGACUUUUGCUCUAUACCAGUCAGAUAAAAACUGCAGUGAGAAACAAGCAUCCUCUCCAUCCAAUUGAGGGGAGGACUGAGGAAUUCUUAUGUGGCUUGAAGG